rnacentral:misc_RNA from 1 species
GGGUGCUUAGUUGGUGCUUUGACUGCAUAUUGCCUCUUGGGGUCAAUUACUGUUACGGUAUCGUUGUGGUCGGCAUACUCCUUCAGAAAUGUCUCUCCAUGUUUGAACUCGGGAAGUUUUUUCGCAUAUACAGCUUCAUAUCUAUGUGUAGGUAGAUUGCACAAGUAAUCUAGUGAAGCUUCCCGUUUAAGUAGGUCGAUGCAUUGUUCCUCAUAUUCAUCAGAGUUCAUACCAUCCACAGGCUGAGAAUAAGAAGAUGCUAGAGACUUUAUUAUCUUACGCCCCAUAAAAGCACCUAUCCG